UACGGGAGGCAGCAGUGGGGAAUUUUGGACAAUGGGCGAAAGCCUGAUCCAGCAAUGCCGCGUGUGUGAAGAAGGCCUUCGGGUUGUAAAGCACUUUUGUCCGGAAAGAAAACCUCCGCCCUAAUAUGGUGGGGGGAUGACGGUACCGGAAGAAUAAGCACCGGCUAACUACGUGCCAGCAGCCGCGGUAAUACGUAGGGUGCAAGCGUUAAUCGGAAUUACUGGGCGUAAAGCGUGCGCAGGCGGUCCGCUAAGACAGAUGUGAAAUCCCCGGGCUUAACCUGGGAACUGCAUUUGUGACUGGCGGGCUAGAGUAUGGCAGAGGGGGGUAGAAUUCCACGUGUAGCAGUGAAAUGCGUAGAGAUGUGGAGGAAUACCGAUGGCGAAGGCAGCCCCCUGGGCCAAUACUGACGCUCAUGCACGAAAGCGUGGGGAGCAAACAGGAUUAGAUACCCUGGUAGUCCACGCCCUAAACGAUGUCAACUAGUUGUUGGGGAUUCAUUUCCUUAGUAACGUAGCUAACGCGUGAAGUUGACCGCCUGGGGAGUACGGUCGCAAGAUUAAAACUCAAAGGAAUUGACGGGGACCCGCACAAGCGGUGGAUGAUGUGGAUUAAUUCGAUGCAACGCGAAAAACCUUACCUACCCUUGACAUGUAUGGAACCC
rnacentral:rRNA from 1 species